GGCGCCGCGCGCCUUCCGCCUCUCCCGCCUCAGCGGUACGGUAGGACGCGGCCGCCUCCCCUCCGCCUUGCGGCAGGUGGUGCGUGCCGGCCCUCAGUCCCGGCCUCGCCGCGCUCCCCCCCGUACGGCGCCGCGUUGGUAUGCGCCGGGCCGCAGCAGCGCGGCAAGGCGGGCGCGGCCCCCGGCAUCACCGCGCCGUGGUAGGCGCCUCCGGGGGCGGGCUGCGGGGCCUGUCGGCGUUCUUGCGGCCCUGUCGGGUUUUUCGGCUGUGGAUUCCUCCGUUGUAGCGCUUCCCGCUUCAGCUUUUCCUUCGUGUACGCGCUAGGGCUCUAUUCGUGGGGCUGGAGAACAAAGGGCGGUGCGGAAACGGGCUCGUUUGGGGCUGAUGCCAAAGGGAGAGCCUGGCGGGGCGGCUCAAGGCAGGGCGGCCUGACAAGGGCCUGUCUUCCUCCUUUUUCAAGGAGAGCUAUGGAAAAAAGGGCUGUGAGGGCCCCGUUCCGUGCUGGGAAGGGUUUGGGGGAGCACAGGGAAAGCAGAGGCAAGAACUGCAGAUUGACCUGACAUCAGAGCUUCCUGCAAGUUUAACUGAAACGAGGUGUGAGAUGCAACUCUUGGCUUUUCAGUAGAGUGUUACAGCAUAUAAUGGUGAAUUUCAUCCCUAUACCUUGCUGUAAGAACUUGCAUCCACUAAAAAACAUGGUGUGAAGAAUGGAGUUCAUGCGGAUAAAAACCAUAUGGGUUGUGAUAACUGCCUUUUUACUUGCAUAUCUACAGGUAGCACUGUGCCAGCACUCUGUUUCCUAGUACCUGUACCUUACAUGUGCAGGUGAGCUCAGCGGAACUGUGUGGUUUCUCACAAUCAGUUGUGGAUGUGGCCCUUUGGAUGUUCUACCAAAAAUAAAAAGCACUGCUAAAAGUGUGAUAGCUUCUAAAUGUGGAAGCAUUUCUGCAGCUGUCCUGGCUGUCCUAUUUAACAAGUCUGUUCCGUCUGUAGUAGUCCUGAGUUCCCUUUUGUCCAGGAAUGAAAAUUGCCAAUACCAAUUAUUUCUAAUCUGAAUAACAGAUUAGAAAGCAGGUAUUGCUUUAUUGCAGUGUUUAGUGCAUGAGAGAUGGCUCCUCCCAGCGUGCACACGCACCAUCUGAAAGCACACAUAGAUUUUUGCAUGUUUUAAUUUGCAAAUAUUCUUAGGGGUUCCUCAAAGUGCCCGCCUAUUCCUAGAAUUGCUAUACAUAGUAAAAUCCAGUACUACGUGUACACUGGGUUAAUAUGGGAUUCUUGCAAGGGGAUCUGGAGUGGUUGUGAGGUUCCACUGGGAGGUGCUAUCCAGGCAAAAGGUUGUGUGUUACGUAGGCCAAGUCCCAUACUUAGUCAAGGACUUAUUUACAAAACCACGGAUGUUGACGAAGUUUCUAAUUAGUGCAUCAAUCUUGCUAUGGUGCCUAUAUUGUCAACCCUACAGUGUACCUUCUCAAGGCUGGUGAAAUGUUGAGGCUCUGCUUUUAGGCUCCAGAUGUCCUGCUUAUCUGGGAGAGACAGUCUUCCCUAGACGAAAUACCAGUUUGCUGAAGAGUUUGAAUUCAUUGCUGAAGGCUCUGGACUUGCUGCCUGGUAUCAGUAUGAGGAUUUAUAGGGUUUUUGCAAGAUGGGAUCCCACAAAGAUCACAAGCGAUCAUCUUUGUGACUCUGCAACAAGACUGUACUGCUGCGGUGGUAUUCUUUGAGGGAACCUGAAAUCUGUCGAUAGAAACUGUUUUUAACUCUGCUGCUAGUUUUCAUCAAAUGUAUCUGUGAAGUCAAUGCAUUAUCUCUUAAUAAAGAGCAACACACACACGGAACCUUAAUUUGUUUUGUGAAAUGCACGGAUUAUUUUAAAACCCUGUAAGCAAAAUACACUAUCUCCAGGCUGAAUAAAUGCCUAGUUUCACUGGGCCCAGGUGAGAACAUCUGAUUAAGAGUUCUCAUCUAAACAAGGCAUCAAAUUCCCAACCAGCUCUCCAGUGAGAGCUGAAUAGAUGUGAAGAGAGGAGUGGAGAGUGUGUACCUCCAUCAAAUUUCUGUAGGUAAGCAUUGUCACUGUCAGCUGGUUUUCAUAGGUGUAUUAAGAACAAGUUAAAGAUACAAAGCACGUUUUCAGGUUCUUUGGAAGAUGGACACAAAAGUGUUAUGCAGAUGGUACUUGAACCACAUACCUUGGCUUCUAACCUUCACUGUCUUUUUGAUUGAGUCUUAGGUAUCAUUUUACAAAGACAUACAUUGAAUAUGCUCAAACUGAUGUUAACUUCUAUUGUCACCAAAGGAGGAAAUUUAAAAGCAUGACUAGUAACACAGGAAGAUUGAGUUGUUGAUUUGUAAUGGUGAUUUUGCUUUAAUAUGCACUUCUGCCAUGUUAAAGUUCUCUAAGUUUAAUCGCUGUGCGAUAAGAUGAGGCAGCUUGUGGACAGGAUAUUAAACCUUGAUUUCUAUCGUACCAAACAAUUGCUAUAUCUUUGUCACUUCUUAAAACUAACAUCCUUUCCUAUCAGGUUGACAUGUCCUACUGUGUUAUUUAAGACUUGAUUUAUUACAGUUGAAUUUGUUUUUUAAAUGCAAAAGCAUGUACUUUAAUGACUGUGUUUCAGCCAUCUUCAUGGUGAAUCCGAAGCAAACUUUGUGUCUUGCAAACUGCCCAGCUGACACUUUCCUGGCCAGGUUUCCAUGUAAACAGGGUGAACGCACAGCUGUGUACUGUGUGCCACCAAUCCAAUUGCAGGCAGCACAGUGCUUGGGAGAAGCUGUUACCUGGUGUUCAUCAUGGGAAGGAGUUGUCCCCACCUGUGAAGCCUGGGGUCCUGAUGGAGAAGUUGCUGAUCCUCCUCACCUGUGUCAUCCGAGUGGUUUAGAGGUAAAUAAAAUACAAAGGUCUAUAUCAGAAAAGCAUUGGAAGUUUGGCUUCAUAAUUAAUUAUAGCUAAUACCUCUUGAAGAUGUGGUCAGAGCAGCUAUCAAGAUGCAAAUACUGAUGGUAAGGAAUGCCUGUGUGCAUGGGCAGGCGUGCAGGCUCUGCUGGGGGCUGAGGAAGUGGUGGCUGUCCUUGAACAGUUUUCCUUAUGGAAACUCGUGGUAAAGAGCUACCACCUCGCUCUCAAAACCUUACACGAAGGCAGACGCAGAUGACAUUUGUAGACAAUAUCCUAGAGGCAGCAGAGGUAGGAGUUCUCCUAGAAAUGAAGAAUUUAUCUAAUUGCUCGUUUAAAAAUCUCUUGCAAAGUUGCAUGGUGUGUUUGUCUGACCCACUAACGUUGCAGCUGAUGGUGUGUUCUUGUUAAUCUCUGUGGAGUGUGUGUGGGCACAUCUUUUGCUGAUUACCCUGAUACAUUACAUUUAACCUGGCAGAUUGGUGAGCAAUCUACUGGUCAGUGCCCCCCAGGAAGUCAGCUGUGUUGAUUAGAGGUGUGGUAGAGUUUGCCAUAGGGGCUAGAAGCCUUCAGGGUGAUUCCUGGGGAUUCUUUUUCAGUCCCCCUCCCAGGUGGAAGGAACUGAUGUUGAUCUCAAUUACUGUGGUAAUUAGUUAGUUACUAUGUGCAUAAGGUAGGGAGUAAUUGUUGAAGCCCAACAGCUGAUGUGUAUGGCCAUUAUAAUUGUGUGUGUAUAUAUAUAUAAAUAUGGACUUAGGAGUCAUGAUUAUUGCUGGAAUGUUUUUAUUUUAAAAUCCAGUGCACCCAUUAAACUUGGACAAAGUGCUGUAUGAUUAGAGAAGACACAGGAACCUGAUCCAGCUCAGCCAACCCAAGCAGGUGCCGCAGGGUGAGCCCGUACAGACCUUUUUUUCCUACAUGGGUGUAUUUUUAAGUGUCUUACAGUAUUCUGAUCACAGGAGUAACCUAGUACCCUUUGUGCUUUACUUAUAAUCUUGCUUGAAUUGUGGGAUCGAGGAAAAAUUCUUCAUACGUAUCCACUGCAGUUCUUAGAUUGUGGCUAAGAGAUUAAAAAUGCAAUCAGCUUGUGCCACUUCAGUGCUGUGUGUGUUUAUGUUUUGAAGGAAUGCGUUAUGCACUGCGAUUUCUAUGUUGUUCAGCAUAUUAAAUAAAGGUGUUCUGGUGAGGGAUGUAUUUGGUAUCUGUGAUAUGUUUGCUAAUCAUGUAUUCUUCAGUGCUGGGAAAGCACUGCUUCUCAAGUGCCUGAGGUGUGUUACAAAUAAGGUGAGAUUCAGCCGAUGUUGUAACAGCACUGGAACCGAGCAGGCAGUGCUUUUGUCCUUUCAAGUUCCACACCAACCAGUUCUGUCCCUGCAGGAUGGAGCUGCUGAGCUGCUUGUGGAAUAGCUCGCCAGUCACUAUUUCACAGAAUUCAUACCUUGAUGGUGAAGUGCUAAAUUCACAUCCUAGUGACUCCAGCAGAGCUCAUAUUAAGUCUCCUAAUACAUGAAAAGACCUUGCCUUAUUCAUUUUCCCCCUGUGGUGAAGCGAAACUUACAAAUCUUACAUCUGCUUUCUAGAGUUAAUGGUGUUGCUAAAGUGUCCUGCUCAGUCUGAAGCAGCUUUUUGUCCAAACCAGGUGUGAUUACAUCUUGCAGCAGGAAGGGCUGCCCUUCUGGGCUGAGAGCAAACGCAUUGGCUUCCCCUGGCGCUGCCCAGCAGGGACUGCUAUGGGUUACCUUCUUCAGCCUUAUAACUUACUAUGAUAAUGUGCUGGUUGCAUUUGUAGCAGCAGUUCCUUAUUUCUCUGGCUUAUCUUCCCACAGAAGGACAUAGGAAAAAUGUCCCCUCUUGUGCGGGCGUCUCACCCCCAAUUUUGCAUGCGUUCACCUCUGCAAGCUGUGAUCCUUGCAUCUACUGCCUGCUUUCAUCCCCCAGCAGCUCCCCUCCCUGCCGCUGGUGGGAGUGUUUAGGACAGGAACCCCAGGUCUGGAGUUCUUCAAAACACAAGGUGCUCUAAGGAGGGAGAAGUGGAUUUUGUAUUGCACCUGAGGGUCCCAAGAUACAUUCUGGUUAGAAGUGUUCGUAGCCAAAUGGCUUUGUCAGGCAAGAGCUGCAUGGAACUUCUUCCCUGUUCCAGAGGUAUUCUUUGCAGCUUAUUUCCCCCUCUGACCAACAGUCCCUAUUUUUCACACUUUAGUCUAUGAGAAAUUAAGUUUUCCAGUCAUGUAUUUUGCCUUAUGAAUGAUGAGAUUCUGUAAUAUGCUGGCUGCUGUGCCAUUGUGGCAUCUUGUCAUGAUGAUUGCUUGCACCAUCAGCUAUUGUGGCAAAAGUCAGACUGAGAGCAGCCUGAAUUCAAAAAGCAGGAAGGAAGUAAUGGGAGUGUGGCAACUUUUUAUUUUCCUAUCUAAAGCUGAGAAUGAAUGCAGUGUUAUUUCUUACAGAGUCCUUGUUAAAAUUCAUUCUGGUGACCAGUUACAAAUUUUGAUAAAGCUAAUAAGGGAUUUUACGCUAAAUAUUGGUGUAACCUACACUAUUGUUUUCAUAUGCUUGUUUUGUUUUGUAGGAAUCAUGCCAUCAAACACAGAUCAGUAAUGCUUGUUGCUUGAUCCGACUGCUGUAUAGCUGAUGAAUUCAUGGAUUUAAGACAAAUAAUCCGUAUUUCAUUACUAGCGAGCGCUUGAAAUAAAAAUGUACCCUGCACUAUUGCUUGAAAAACAAAUCCCGAAGUCAUAUGAGAGGAUUAAAGAUGGGGAAAAAAAUCUCUCAAGAGAAAAAUGAGGGGAGUAAUGACAUCUGCUUAGUAGCAUCCAGCCCCUCAGCCGGCAGUCGGACCUCUGGAGUCUUUACACACAGGGAAUGUGUGUGAUGAGUGAGGAGCAGCAGAAUAGCAAACAGACCAGGUUACCUAAAUCUUGAUUUUUCUGGGCUUGAAAGCUUUGAAAACUGUCUGAAAUGCAUUCUAAAGUACACCAAUGAAGCUAAAGAGAGUAUAGGGAUAAAGCUUAAGGGGCAGUAGAGAUACAUCUACUUGGCAAACAACGUUAGCAGUAGGAAGAGCAAUCUUACCAUGCCUGGACAUCUUCCCUGCCUCCUUCACUUCAGAGCACUCAUCAGCAAGAGCUUGGAUGGUUGUUGAGAGGAAAAACAGUGGAAGGCCUUCAAGUUAAUGCCAAGUGUGGUGCAAAAGUCAGGAAAAAGCCCUGAAGGAGUUUUGGGAACAGUUGUGGACGUGUAGGCCGCGCAGUGCCUCCAUGCGUCCUGUCCUUCAGGAAGAUGGGUGAAUUCUUGGAUAACCUUUCCCCAAAGCUGCAUUCUCCUUUAUUUAUAAGCAUUCUAAGUUACAUGCCAUAUUUCACUUCCGAAGGUCAUUUCUCAGGGAAACGUUGCGUUGAGAAGGAAAUGCAUUUGUUGGCAUCCAGGAAGUUGUCCCUUCAGGAUGGUGUUCUACCACGGCAGUAAACAAAACCAUUGGUUGCAAAGACUUCUACACAAGUUAAUGCGGCUCUAUUGAAGAUGUAAGGCUGGAGCACCAGUUUCUCAGCAGCGGGAUGUCACCUAGCCGUGAGCUGGCCUUGCUCUGGUGGGGGAACACCAGGAGACCCACAGUGAGCUCCAUUCUGGUUCUGCUGGAAGGCUGCCUGGUCCUUCUGCCAGGUUUCUGUUCUGCUUAAAUGGCUGGCUAUUAACAUGACUAACCUUUUGGAGUGCCUCAUUUGACUUUAAACGUUUGCUGCUCCUACCCUUUCCUACGGAGACCUUUUUAUAGAGUUGAGCAUUGUCUUAAGCUUAUGGAGUUAACCACGAUUAUGGGAAAGUUCUUGAAGAAUUUUUGAAUUUAAUACUUCUUUUAAAACGUGUGUAAGCAAGUUCAGAGGUGUCAGAUACAAAUGCCCCAGUACGGCAUGAGGACAAGGAGGUGUUGGAGCUAGAGCUGUUUCAUUGCUAGUGCACAGAAACGUGGCAAUGAACCAUUUCCCUGGUGCUUUAGAGCAUUAAAACAGCUGUUGUGGAUCAGAGCGAAGUGGGCAGCAGCUGUGGCAGUGAUCUGCCCGUGAUUAGUGGGCUCAGGCACUUGUGGAGCUGCAGAUGGGCUUUUUGCUCUUAAAGGCACUGUGCUUUUAGGGCUCCCACUUUUGCACCAGUGCACUUCUUGAAGUGCAAAAGGUUUUCCCAGCUGUAAGUCCUCCCAGAAUCACAUAGCAAAGAGCUCUUGGUUUCAGUGUCUGUGCAAAGACAUUGCACAGUCUGCCUGUGUCCUGAUGGGCACAAACAGCACUGAUUGCAUAUUAAAGCCAUUGUCACCAUCACAACCUGGGAGGAGAGCAGAGUGCCAGGAUGCUGCGGGACCCUGAAGAUAAUGUCUUAUAAAUAAACAUCUCAAAUUAGUCUGAAGCCGCAGUGUGCGAUGUAUGGAGCAUUGGAUUCUGACCAUGUUACACAAAGAUUGCUACUAAUGGCUUUUGGCAGCACAGUCACUAAGUCAGAAAGCUGAGAUGAUUGCAGAUUGUCUGCUUCCAUACAGAUCAUACAGCUGCUUGGAAGACAGUGGAGGGAGCGCUUAAUUGAAGUUUGUUCUUGUCAAUGUGCUGAUCAGGUUUUGAUGCAAGGUUCUCUUCUUUUGUGCUUUUUUCGUCCAAUUUUAUUUUAAAUUUGUAUUCUAUGCUAAACAGUAGUGCCAGUGGAACCAUAAGCAUCUGCUACCGAGGAGUUUAAAUUUAGGAUGCGUUGCAGAAAUCUGAAAAUGUUUUCCUGUUUGGUUAAAAAUGUUUUCUGUGUUUUUCCUCUUCAACUGCUGCUCUGGAUGCCAUAAAACAAUGAUCUGAGAGGUUUGCUGUGCGAUGCUGUAAAACAACGAUCCAAAGGGUUUGCUCUGAAAGCAUCUCUUUGUGCCCUGGGCCAGUGACCCUGCUGCUGUGCCUGUAAAUCACGGCAAGCUGGAGGAAUCCUGUUGAUUUCUGAGCUCCUAAUCCCACAAAGCCUGUAAAUGAUGGCUGGCUUAGCUUUGUUUCUGAUAAAACGAGGCUUAUGAGAUGAUGACAUUUGCUGCCUGUUUCUCCUCCAUUCUGUUCCAUGUCACCACCCAAGAGAUCUCUGGAGCCCAUCAGUGCAAGGCUGUGCGCUUAGUGGUACAACACUACUGUCUGCUGGAGACUGAGAAAGGAGCGUGGGUGAAUGUGUGCGAGUGAAUUUGGCUGUGUUAGCGUCCUGAUUCCCUUCUGCAGGAUAUGCUUCCCAUGUUCUGCAGUGUCUGAUGCAGGUGCUGGGUCAGCCCAGGGAUGCUUGCUUCCUGGAGAACACGCACGGACUCUGCUGAUGGAGUUUGUCAUUAACAACCCUGCUGUUCCUUAAGCCAAGCUCCUCGUGCAGCUCAGCUAUGGAUGGAAACGUGGUCUUUCAGCUGUAACCGUUCCACGCCAUCUCCUCCUUUUGGACAAGUUUGAAAUGGCUUCGGCGUUCGCAGAUGAUUCACUGUUUGUGCGUUACGCCGUGUGUGAAAUUGCUGCCUGUGCUUUGCUGGGCAUGCCUAACAUUCACAGGGGAUUUUCGUAGUUUAUUUUUAGCUUUUCCCAAUAAUUCACAGAUUUGGAUUAAAUUUCACUCUAUGGAGCAAUUGAAAGCAGUUGGUUUAUGCUAAAUGUCUGUCACUGAGAACCGUGACCUACAAAAACUCUGCUAUAAUAUCCGAAGCAGCGACUUAUUUACAUCCACGCACAUGCUGGAAGUGCAGUGCUGGGUUGGGAGAUCUGGACAGAGCCUUGGCUUGCAUCAUCACAGCACCCAGCUUGUGCUGCCGCUUUCCUCCAUGGGAAAGGAGAGGGAAAGGCCAAAAAAACUUGAACCAAGUGAACCAAAGGAAAAGCUGAGGAUCGUAGAAUCCUUGAGGCUGGAAAAGACCCCUGAGGUCACAGAGUCCAACCCCAGCCCUUCCCCACCAUGCCCGCUAGCCAUGUCCCAUGGCUUAACACAAGGAAAACACGUGUGAAGUUGACAUUUCAUUGCACUGUUGUCUCCGAGGAGUUUACUUAUGUACUUUCUAAUGGAGGUGGGAAUUUUUUAGUUUAGCUUCUUUGAGUACAUUAGAAGAAAAACACAAGUAGAGGAACCGUCAAGGUGUUUCAGUGGCACCUGGCUAAAGGAAGGCAAAUUGAUCAGCCCCAAACAUGAGGAAAUACGCGUUGGUCGUGGGGCUGCCAACCACCAGCAGCUCUCCUGAGGCCUUGGCUCCUGAUGCAGAACUCCACCUGUUUUCCCCCAUUUCUUAGAAGGGGUUGGGUAGAAGGGACAUCAGGGAUCAUCUGGUUGCCAGCCUCUAAGGACAGCUGCGCUGACGUGGGUGGUUGCCAAAAUGCUUCUCCUGCAGCACAGGGCUGCUCCUUCUGGCAGGUACAGAGCCGGUGCAAUGAUGUCCAUUCACCACGGUAACUGUGAGCGUAAAUUUUAUGGCUGGAAGAGAAAUAACAUACCUGUAGGAUUCUGGCCUUGGGGUGGAGCUGUGUGAGGAACUGAACGAGAAAGCAAAGAUACCUAAAAAUACCUAGUCAAGCAUUUCUCAAAAUAGACUUUUACCUAUCAUGUACUCUUUUUAUUUUUAGGACUUUAAAGUGUUACUUGUUUAGAUUUGCAUUUUUGUAAUUAGCUGCACCACGUGAGAACAAGCAAAUUCUCAAAAGCUGUGAGUAAAACAAGCAGUGCUCUUCCAGCUCUUCAGCGCAGCGCUCUGCAGUUCUGCUGCUUCCUUCAGCCAAUCAAAGCAGGUCUGGGCUGCCCUGUUUUGCCCACGGUGAUGAAUCGUGCGUGCCUAUUUUGAGACGCUUGCUAUUUCAUUUUUUUUUUUUAAGCAUUGAAAAUGCAUUGCAAAAACACCCGGUUUGUCUACUGCAAAAUCUGGAGAAAAAGCAAAAUCUGCGUGAGAGGACGGAGCUCUUGGUGGGAGCGUGCAGCGGUGCUGUGCCCAAUGCUGAGCAACACCAGCGAGCCCUGCUGCUCCCUUCCUGCCAGAAAAUAGACAGCAGUGCCAUAGUGCUGCUUGCAAGCAGGCAUCCUAGUUGAAAAAAUCCCCACGAGUUGACUUCCUUCUACAUUAGCCAAGUGAUUUCUCCUCCUCUGACAUCCAAGUGCUCGCUUUUUAUUUGUGUUCCGCUUGUGCUUCCAUUCAGAUUGUGCAAAGAUCAUGGAAACGGGCUGAAAAAGGCAGGCAGCGAUCAGCACACCUCGGUGCCAUCCAUGGCAACUGUUUUCCUGUUGCAAUUAGUUUGACCUGGGAGACAAUAGGACUGUUUACCACGCUCAGGGAGAUUAACAAGGAAUAACCACCACCUCUUUGAUAAUGCUUCCCACUCUGUGCCUUUCAUGUUUGCUGGAUUAACAUUCAUGCUUUAUCUUUCGGGUUGCAUUAUCUCCCAGAUUUGUAUUUUUCACUGGAUGCUCAUCUUUUACAGUUGGUGGGAUCUGCCUGGGGUCAUUUCCCCAGCAGAGUAUCGUAAGGUGUAUACCCCAGUGUACUUCGUGUGCCUAAGAGAUAAGGCACCGAUCUAUUUCAAGAAGCAUAAGCUGCAUAGGAAACAUAUUAAGCCAAUAGCUUAAUGCAAGGAUUAUAUUCUUUUAAAUAUAGUGUAUUAUAUUUAUGUAUGAUGCAUAUAUUUUUAAAUAGAGCAUAUCCUAGAGUUUACAGUGCCAUGACUUGCUUAAAAGCCACCCUGUUGCUCCAAUAUCUCACACCACAACGGAGGGAUGAUUUCUGGGGCUGGUGCAUGGGACAGCCCUGUGCUAACCCAGUGGCCAAGGGCCCAGCAUGUGCAUGGCCCGGCAGCUCCACCCUGCACUGAGUCUAAAGUGGUUGUAUCGACUGGGAUCUGUCCUUCCAAUGAGGGCUCCUGGGAGCUGCCAUGCCUCGGGCUGAUUUACGGAUCCUUGUUCCUCUUGUGCUGCAGUAAAUCAGCUUUCUUUUGUUCCUGACAACUGAGAUUGCAAGCUAUAAAACCAGUAUUGGCAUUUGCAAAGAACUCAGGAACCUGAGCAACUUUCUCCUCGAUCUUAAUGGAAUUGAUUCCAGGCUUGGAGCGGUCAUAAAGGAAAGGACAGGAACAGCCUCUGUUAAUGCAGUGCUGUUAAUUUCAUUAAGUCUUAAAAUAAAUAUCGCAGAAGCUCCCUGUUUCGUUUGGCAGUGAGCUAUUUGUAACAGACAACUAGCUCUGCAGCCCUUGCAAACUGGGAGGCUUGAUUAAAAGACUCCGUGCCAUCGAAAUGAUGGGAAUGGAUGUUUGCGGGGCUGCUGCGUCCUACCGAGAGCAAUCAGAGUGGCAAGUUGCAGUUCCCAAUUAGCAGACUCAGGAGCAGAGUUUCUCAUUCAUUCCCUGUUGCUGUAAAUACCAGGAGGAAACAAUGGAGAUUUAUUGUUGAGAAAGUUUGUAAUCAGGCUUGGCUGCAGUCUUUGGCAUAAGGAAAGCUACGUCUGCGUCUUUUAAUUUUAUCCCCAUUGUAAAGGCCCUAAAAUUUAAUUCUUUUUAUAAAAUUUGCCGUUAAUCUUAAUGGAAUCCCAUCAGUAGACUCUAAACAAGGAGGAGCUGAAAAGCCACAAGUAGAACAGCACCUGUAUAUUCAGCUGUGUAACAAAACAAACGAUCUGUGGGCCACAGAAGCAAACCAAAAGCAGGCAAUGAAAGGAGCGAGCACUCCUGGCAAUGCGGGCUGUGCUGCCCGCCUCCAGCACAAUAUUCCUGCAGAAGAAGUGGCAAGCCCUGGUGCCAGCACGGCGUCAGGGAUGCAGGCACUGCUGGGCUGCGUGCUUCCGUGUUAGGAAAAGCCCCUUCACCACUUGGGGUGAGUGGCUGUGGGGGGGGACCCUCCUCUCAUCGCUGUGGGCAGCUCUCACACUUCUAAUACAGCCCAGAUUACUCGUCUUCACAAUAAAAUUGCCUUAAGCGCCGAUGAAAGGCGUGGAGGGCUGGAUGUUGGGUCCUGGCAGGAAAGCUUGUUCUCUGUCAAAUCCGGGCAUUAUUUGAAGAUUAUCUACAGCAUAAAACAGAUUCUCCAUCCCUGUGUUUAACAGUUCAUAUACGGAGCGGUUGUGUUGGCUGAGGAGCAGUGCCAUGGUGGUGUGCAUUCGGGGUGGGUAUGAGGAAUGAUUCCUUCCCC